CAACUGCAGUACCACCAGCAACAAUAUCUGCAGGACCAUCAGAUAUAUUAUAAAAUAGUAUUUAAAAUCAGUUGUCAGCCACAUGUGGUCUAUAUGAUGCAACAUGUUUGCAAUUGUUGGCAUGUCAUUUAAAAAUUUCAAUGCUGAUAAAACUGAAUUUUUUAAAAAAAAGAGUAUUUCCAGCCUUCCAACCAAAUAUUAGAGACUUUUACAAAAAGUGUCUAAUAUUUAUUUAAUAUUACUAAAUUUCGUUUCGUAUUUUUCAUUUUUCAAAUGAAUUAACAUAAAACAAAUAAAUGUGCGUUCAGUGUUAUUGAUAAUG